GAUUUCAAUUGAAAAAGUCAUCAACAACAAAGUUGAAUAACUCAUCAAGAUCUAAAACUUUUAUUUUGGUCAUUUCUUCAUACGACAAAGUGAUAGUAACAUUGUUCACAAAAUUGACAUAUCUCUUAUCUGGUUUUAUAAACUAUAACACAUGUAUGUAAAAUUUGUGAAUAAUAUUACUAACAUUUCGUCGGAUGAAGAAAUAACAAAAAUAAAAGUUUUAUAUCUUGAUGAGUUAUUCAACUUUGUUGUUGAUGACUUUUUCAAUUGAAAUC
rnacentral:pre_miRNA from 1 species